AAACUGAUACUAACCCAAGGAAAUGAAAACAGCAGUUUUCCGUCUCUGAAACCUGCAAUAAAGUCCUUCAAUGUGUUAAAAUAACUCUGGUACCAGGAAGAGUCUAAUCUUACCAGGAUGAGGUCAAAAAGUGCUAUUUUACCCUAAAGCAGGAUAUUCUACUCAAGCAAUAGAUGAAAUUAAUCUCUCCUGAUCUCUCUAUUGUGACUGCUGGAUGGCUUCCAAGGCUCAAGCAGGCUUGUGUAGCAUUAGCUCAAGUACUUCAGGAUUCCUGUGGUCUGAAAAAAAGACAUAACCUAUAAAUGCCGCUUUAGUUCUUCAUUCAUGGUGCUGGCAGUACUGUAACGAGGCAAAGGACAGAAAGCAGUGGUGUUGCAUUUGCUGAGCCUUUCAGAAGGACUCAAACUAAGUGCAGUUGCCCUUGGUUUUGAGUUGGUUACAGUUCAUCAGUGCCAGACUUUACCCUCUCUAGAACAGAGACACUGACAGUUGUCCUAAAUCAUCAAGUAUUUUCAUGAUAAUGUAAAAAAAAAACCCAAAUGAAAAAAAAAAAAAAUCAACAAAAAGUGACCAACCACCACCCCCCCCAAAAAAAAAAAAAAAACCACAAAAAAAAAACACCAAAAAAAACAAACAAAAAAAACAACUACCUGGGUUGUGACUACUGUGUACGUUUUAAUUCCACAGGCACAAGAUUCUCAGACCCACUGUGAUUCCUGAGUUUCCUACUUCACAAUUAAUUGAAAUGGAAUAUGGAUUUGUAUUCUCUGAAUGAGAACAGCACCUCUUCAGUACUUACUUUAAGAGAGACAACAUGAGACAUGAAUUCUGAAUAAAACUGACAUCCGUCCAAUGUGUAAUAUACUGAACAGAAAGUUUACUGAAAAAUCUUAAAUAUUUCCUCCUCCAGCACAAACCCACUGUAUUACUACACUACGCAAGCUAUUUGCUUUCUCCUGCUUGAGAGUUUAGGCUGUUUGGAGAGUCUGCAAGUGAAUCUUAUCCCACAGAAGAUUUUUGUAGCCAUGUUAUACUACUACCAAAAAGAUUUUAACCAACUGAGGAGCCACUACAAUGAAUCUUCACUGGAAUGAAACUUGCUUUUCUGAAAGUUUCCCACUUGGCAGGACUCAGGAAGGGCUCAUCUUGUAUAGUACAUGACUUGGAUCAUAUUGAAGGGGAAGGCUAAGGACCAGCAGCAGAUGCAGGAGCAUUACUUAAUAAAUUGCUAAUCCAUCCUCAUUAACAAAGAAGUCCUUCCAGAAUGGAUAUUAAGACAAAGAGCUGUUGGCAUUUGUGCAGACUUAAGGGAACAUCUGUGUUUGUGAUGGAAGAAGAUUCACUGUGUGAUAAUAGAAACAAAGCCUCAAAGAAAAAUCCUUUCACUCCUAAAAGGUUUUCUCAAAACAUCGCACCCAAGAGGCGUAUAAAAAGUACCAUGAGACCAGUGAACACAAUAUAUGAACUUAACAAAAACCAGCAUGUGUUCAAGUGUUCUGGCAGGAAAGAGAAGCUCAUUACCACAGUAUCUGAGAAAGUCUAUGUUGCUUAUGGAAUUUGAGUUUUUUCUUCUAACUUUUGGUCUCAAACACUUUACCUCCACAACCUCGAGAUAACAUUUAAUUCAGCAGCAAAAUAAGGCUUACACAUUUUUAUCAUGAGGGCCUUGGAAGAAAGGACUAUUUGAAAUAUAUAUUAUGAUUUUGUUAGUAUUUACUUAAUGAUUGUAAACUGUAUUUUGUAUUUUGCAUUGUUUUUAUAAUACUUUUGCACUGAGAAGCACACACAGAAGCCCCCAAUGCCAAACAAGCGAAAAUCCAAGAUUCUUACUCUGUAAAAAUGGGUUAAGAAGGGAUCUUCUCUUGAAGAUGUGAAUGUUCUGUGCUCUUUUCUAAAAACCAGCCUAUAAAUGGUUAAUGUAAGGGCUGUGUGUCUGAUCAUCCACUCAAGUCAGGGGCAAAAAUGUGAUUUUAUUCAUCAUUUUAGUGUUCCUCCUGUUCAGCUGAAUCACAUCAAUUCAGAAUACUCAAAAGCUCGAUAGCUGUGUCUCUUCCUUUUGAGACUAAAAAGCUAUUAUGAGAAAAUUUGUUCUGUUGAAAAAGUUGAGGGUGCUAAUGGAUUAUUAAAUGUCUGGGUUAACCUUACUAGAGAUGUUUUCAUUGGGAUAACUCAAUUUAAUAUGGUAUAAUAGAAUUUUCUAGUAUAUGUUAAAGCCCAAACGGUGAUGUGUAAAAGCAAAGAUGAAAGUCCCUUUGACAAAUCUGCUUGAAAGCUGAUUAUUUGAAAUUGCUGUAACCUUAUAACUGCUUCUUCCAGUGAUGAGAUAAUGACAUAAUUUAGAAGUGGGUGGCUUAGUGAUAUAUGUUUCA